rnacentral:rRNA from 1 species
AGCAGCCGCGGUAAUUCCAGCUCCAAUAGCGUAUAUUAAAGUUGUUGCAGUUAAAAAGCUCGUAGUUGAAUUUCGGGGUCAGUAGGUUGGUCGUGCCACUGGUAUGUACUGGUCUCACUGAUUCCUCCUUCCUGAUGAGCUGUAAUGCCAUUAAUUUGGUGUUGCAGGGAAUCUGGACUGUUACUUUGAAAAAUUAGAGUGUUUAAAGCAGGCUAACGCUUGAAUACAUUAGCAUGGAAUAAUGAAAUAGGACGUUCGAUCCUAUUUUGUUGGUUUCUAGGAUUGACGUAAUGAUUAAUAGGGAUAGUUGGGGGCAUUAGUAUUCAAUUGUCAGAGGUGAAAUUCUUGGA